rnacentral:rRNA from 1 species
GAAAGUUGAAAAGUACUUUGAAGAGAGAGUAAACAGUGCGUGAAACCGCUCAGAGGUAAACGGGUGGAGUUGAACUGCAAGCUUUGAGGAUUCAGCUGGUGAGUGUGGUUUGAGCUUGGUCAAGUCGGUUGGACAUUGGGGUCUGUGUAGCAGCAGGUCUCUGCUCUCGGGUAGAGAUGCGCGAUACACUUAUCAAGUGUUGUGCGCCCCUUUGUUUAUCGGGCCAAUUCGCCAGUGCACUUUCUCAGAGUGUUCACCACGACCGGCACUGCUGUCUGACUACUGUGGUUAAACCGGACUUGCAGAGCACUUGUGGCUUUGUAUGGCCGGGAUGGCAGGUAGCUCGUUGACUAGCUUGUGGUUUACUGCAAGCGUUUGGUUUGCGAGUGUAAUUAGCUGACCACGAUUGUUCUGUGCAGUGUGUCGGAGACGGCGGCUUGUGGUACGUGCGUGCGUGCCGGUUCCGUUGGCGUGUUCGGGUUUGGUUGCCAUGUUGCUUGUGAAUGCAGGCCUGGUGAUGGCUCGGAUUCGUUCAGUGGGCGGUUGCGUAUGUGGUGCCGUUAAGGGCCAACAGUCUGUGGUGUAGUGGUAGACUAUCCACCUGACCCGUUGAAAAAA